GCCAAAUCUCCCCUUUUUCUCCUUCCAGACAAUCACAGCCCUCAUUAAGCCCUUCCUGUUUGCACUCUCAUUUCCUACAUAAAUUCCUAUCAAGGUUACCAGCCCUCCCCAGUUUAUUCCUUUCUCUCUUUCCCAGCCAUGGCCUCUCAGCCACCAGUCACCUCUUCCCCCAACCCCCUGACCUCCCACUUCUCUUCUCAAUUCAACUGCUCUUCAGGAUUUCUGGUUGCACUACCUCUGGAGACAAGACUCUAGCAUUUGUUCUUAGGAGGCAAGAAUGCGUUGUUCCGUUUUUGAAUUCCACACAUCUAAUAUGGAGCCUGAGCCACAGGGCUCAAAAUGUUAAGUAAACAAAUGAAUGGGAAAUUAAUAAGAAGAAUGCAUUGGCAAGACCGUGAAGAAGGCCUGCCAUGGGAAGCUUUGGGAAGAAGCCAGCUGCCAUGUUGUGAGAACUCUCAAGCAGCUGUGUGGAGAGAUCCAUGUGGUGAGGAACUGAAGCCUCCUACCCACCAUCAAGUCAGUGGCUCACUACUGUUGCAGUGAAUUCUCCAGCCCAUGAAGACUUUAGAUGAUUUACCCAACAUCUUGAUUAUAGCCUCAUGGAUUCCCUGAGCCAGAACAACCCAGCUAAGCCUCUCCUGAAUUCCUUACCUACAGAAACUGUGAGAUAAUAAAUAUUUAUUCUUUUAAGCCAUCAAAUUUUGGGUAAUUUAUUAUGCAGUAAUAUGUAACUAAUAUAGAUAAAAAUAUUCAGUUUGAAGGAAAGAAGAAAAAUAACUUACAAUAAACUCAAGAAAUAAAAUAAAAU
rnacentral:lncRNA from 1 species